rnacentral:rRNA from 1 species
GUUGUAUAGUCAAGUAAUUAAGUGCAUGUGGUGGAUGCCUUGGCAGUCAGAGGCGAUGAAAGACGUGAUAGCCUGCGAAAAGCUCCGGGGAGGCGGCAAAUAUCCUUUGAUCCGGAGAUGUCUGAAUGGGGGAACCCACCUACUUUAAGGUAGGUAUUGCAACAUGAAUACAUAGUGUUGCAAGGCGAACGAGGGGAAGUGAAACAUCUCAGUACCCUUAGGAAAAGAAAUCAAUUGAGAUUCCCUCAGUAGCGGCGAGCGAACGGGGAUCAGCCCAUUAAGUUAUGUGUGUUUUAGUGGAACGCUCUGGGAAGUGCGAACGUAGAGGGUGAUAUUCCCGUACACGAAAGGGCACACAUAAUGAUGACGAGUAGGGCGAGGCACGUGAAACCUUGUCUGAAUAUGGGGGGACCAUCCUCCAAGGCUAAAUACUCCUGACUGACCGAUAGUGAACCAGUACCGUGAGGGAAAGGCGAAAAGAACCCCUGUGAGGGGAGUGAAAUAGAUCCUGAAACCGCAUGCAUACAAGCAGUGGGAGCACCUUCGUGGUGUGACUGCGUACCUUUUGUAUAAUGGGUCAGCGACUUAUAUUCAGUAGCAAGGUUAACCGUAUAGGGGAGCCGUAGAGAAAUCGAGUCUUAAUAGGGCGUUUAGUUGCUGGGUAUAGACCCGAAACCAGGCGAUCUAUCCAUGAGCAGGUUGAAGGUUGGGUAACACUAACUGGAGGACCGAACCCACUGUCGUUGAAAAGCCAGGGGAUGACUUGUGGAUAGGGGUGAAAGGCUAAUCAAGCCUGGUGAUAGCUGGUUCUCCCCGAAAGCUAUUUAGGUAGCGCCUCGGACGAAUACCAUAGGGGGUAGAGCACUGUUUCGGCUAGGGGGUCAUCCCGACUUACCAAACCGAUGCAAACUCCGAAUACCUAUGAGUACUAUCCGGGAGACAGACUGCGGGUGCUAACGUCCGUAGUCAAGAGGAAAACAAUCCAGACCGCCAGCUAAGGCCCCAAAAUCAUAGUUAAGUGGGAAACGAUGUGGGAAGGCAUAGACAGCUAGGAGGUUGGCUUAGAAGCAGCCACCCUUUAAAGAAAGCGUAAUAGCUCACUAGUCGAGUCGGCCUGCGCGGAAGAUGUAACGGGGCUAAAACUAUGUGCCGAAGCUGCGGAUNNNNNNNNNNNNAUGCUGGAGGUAUCAGAAGUGCGAAUGCUGACGUGAGUAACGACAAAACGGGUGAAAAACCCGUUCGCCGAAAGACCAAGGGUUCCAGUCCAACGUUAAUCGGGGCUGGGUGAGUCGACCCCUAAGGCGAGGCCGAAAGGCGUAGUCGAUGGGAAAAUGGUUAAUAUUCCAUUACUUCUGUGUAAUGCGAUGAGAGGACGGAGAAGGCUAAAUCAGCCUGGCGUUGGUUGUCCAGGUGAAAGGAUGUAGGCAUGUAUCUUAGGCAAAUCCGGGGUACUCUAUGCUGAGAUCUGAUAGCAAGCUGUACUUGUACAGCGAAGUGGUUGAUGCCAUGCUUCCAGGAAAAGUCUCUAAGCUUCAGUUACACAGGAAUCGUACCCGAAACCGACACAGGUGGUCAGGUCGAGUAGACCAAGGCGCUUGAGAGAACUCUGCUGAAGGAACUAGGCAAAAUGGUACCGUAACUUCGGGAGAAGGUACGCUGUUGUUGGUGAUGGAACUCGCUUCCUGAGCUGACGACAGCCGCAGAAACCAGGCCGCUGCAACUGUUUAUUAAAAACAUAGCACUCUGCAAACACGAAAGUGGACGUAUAGGGUGUGAUGCCUGCCCGGUGCUGGAAGGUUAAUUGAUGGGGUUAGCGUAAGCGAAGCUCUUGAUCGAAGCCCCAGUAAACGGCGGCCGUAACUAUAACGGUCCUAAGGUAGCGAAAUUCCUUGUCGGGUAAGUUCCGACCUGCACGAAUGGCAUAAUGAUGGCGGCGCUGUCUCCAGCAGAGGCUCAGUGAAAUCGAAAUCGCUGUGAAGAUGCAGUGUACCCGCGGCUAGACGGAAAGACCCCGUGAACCUUUACUGCAGCUUGACACUGAACUUUGACCUUACUUGUGUAGGAUAGGUGGGAGGCUUUGAAGCUGGAACGCUAGUUCCAGUGGAGCCGUCCUUGAAAUACCACCCUGGUAAUGUUGAGGUUCUAACUCUGUCCCGUGAUCCGGGACGAGGACCGUGUCUGGUGGGUAGUUUGACUGGGGCGGUCUCCUCCUAAAGAGUAACGGAGGAGUACGAAGGUGCGCUCAGCGUGGUCGGAAAUCACGCGUAGAGUAUAAAGGCAAAAGCGCGCUUAACUGCGAGACCCACAAGUCGAGCAGGUACGAAAGUAGGUCUUAGUGAUCCGGUGGUUCUGUAUGGAAGGGCCAUCGCUCAACGGAUAAAAGGUACUCUGGGGAUAACAGGCUGAUACCGCCCAAGAGUUCAUAUCGACGGCGGUGUUUGGCACCUCGAUGUCGGCUCAUCUCAUCCUGGGGCUGAAGCAGGUCCCAAGGGUAUGGCUGUUCGCCAUUUAAAGAGGUACGCGAGCUGGGUUUAGAACGUCGUGAGACAGUUCGGUCCCUAUCUACCGUGGGCGCUGGAAAUUUGAGAGGAUCUGCUCCUAGUACGAGAGGACCAGAGUGGACGAACCUCUGGUGUACCGGUUGUGACGCCAGUCGCAUCGCCGGGUAGCUAUGUUCGGAAGGGAUAACCGCUGAAAGCAUCUAAGCGGGAAGCCUACCUCAAGAUAAGAUUUCCCUAGGACUUUAUGUCCUCUAAAGAGCCGUUCGAGACUAGGACGUUGAUAGGUUGGAUGUGGAAGCAUAGUGAUAUGUGAAGCUGACCAAUACUAAUUGCUCGUGAGGCUUGACUAUACAACACCCAAGCAGUUG